rnacentral:rRNA from 1 species
UACGUAGGGGGCAAGCGUUGUCCGGAUUUAUUGGGCGUAAAGAGCGUGUAGGCGGCUAGGUAGGUCCGUUGUGAAAACUCGAGGCUCAACCUCGAGCUGUCGAUGGAAACCAUCUAGCUAGAGUCCGGAAGAGGAGAGUGGAAUUCCUGGUGUAGCGGUGAAAUGCGCAGAUAUCAGGAAGAACACCCGUGGCGAAGGCGGCUCUCUGGUACGUGACUGACGCUGAGACGCGAAAGCGUGGGGAGCAAACAGG